UACGUAGGGGGCAAGCGUUGUCCGGAUUUAUUGGGCGUAAAGAGCGUGUAGGCGGCCAAGCAGGUCCGCUGUGAAAACUCGAGGCUCAACCUCGAGACGUCGGUGGAAACCGUUUGGCUAGAGUCCGGAAGAGGAGAGUGGAAUUCCUGGUGUAGCGGUGAAAUGCGCAGAUAUCAGGAAGAACACCAAUGGCGAAAGCAGCUCUCUGGGACGGUACUGACGCUGAGACGCGAAAGCGUGGGGAGCAAACAGG
rnacentral:rRNA from 1 species